GUCGGCUCUAUAUAGUAGAGCGUGUGGCUUUUAACCACGUGUUCGUGGGUUCAAUUCCCACAAACGAUG
rnacentral:tRNA from 1 species